UUGCUUACUUGGGCAGCACAUAUACUAAAAUUGGGAUGAUACAGAGAAGAUUAGCAUGGCCCCUGCGCAAGGAUGACACGCAAAUUUGUAAAGUGUUCCAUUCUUUU
ensembl:snRNA U6 U6 spliceosomal RNA